rnacentral:rRNA from 1 species
UACGGAGGGUGCAAGCGUUAAUCGGAAUCACUGGGCGUAAAGCGCUCGUAGGCUGUUUGGUAAGUCAGACGUGAAAUCCCGCGGCUUAACCGCGGAACUGCGUUUGAUACUGUCAGACUUGAGUGUCGGAGAGGGUGGCGGAAUUCCGGGUGUAGGAGUGAAAUCCGUAGAUAUCCGGAGGAACACCAGUGGCGAAGGCGGCCACCUGGACGACAACUGACGCUGAGGAGCGAAAGCGUGGGUAGCAAACAGG